rnacentral:rRNA from 1 species
UACAGAGGGUGCGAGCGUUAAUCGGAAUUAUUGGGCGUAAAGAGCGUGUAGGCGGUUCGGUAAGUCUGCCGUGAAAACCCAGGGCUCAACCCUGGGCGUGCGGUGGAUACUGCCGGGCUAGAGGGUGGUAGAGGCGAGUGGAAUUCCUGGUGUAGCGGUGAAAUGCGCAGAUAUCGGGAGGAACACCAGUAGCGAAGGCGGUUCUCUGGGACGGUACUGACGCUGAGACGCGAAAGCGUGGGGAGCGAACAGG